CCUUCCUAUUAAAAAAUAAGUUUUCAAAUUAGGAUAAACGAUUUUACAUAUUCCACUUUAAAAUGUGCAAGAAGUUUUACAAAAUUCUUUUAGAUUGCAGGUGAUAAAGGCUGGACUGACCAUCCUUUAAGCAGCACGCAUUGCACGAACCACUGGGAAUACCAGGAGAACACGGUACAAACGGCCUCUCCCUCAUAAUCCUCUGGCCUCCCCUGCCCUCUCCGGAAAACACCUGCCUCUGGUGACUGUUGUGAAGACGCACAUGUGCGGUGUAGACCACCCCAUACAAAGUUGGUGCCGAAAACGGGGUACGUUCUUAUCAUUGUUGCUGUCAGACCAAAGGGUAAGAGUUUGUCCCUUGCAUGAAACCCGUGGAUCUCCAGGAUAGGGAAAGCCAGAAGAAAGCGCGUGCGACUUUCCGGAUCGGAAGCAGCUUCCUUUCCUCUCAGUCCAACUUUCACUGCAGCCACUGCUUUGGCGACCAGCCCAGCACAAGCGAACCGGAAGCACGCCUGCCGGCACUGGCUUCCGGUCUACCCAGGCUGCUCUGCAGCGGCGCAUGCGCAGCACGACAGGCCGUUUUCCUUGAGGCGUAAUUGCUGACCGCGUGUCGUGUGGGCCCGACCGUAGACGCUCGAGAGUUCUAAGUCUCGCUGGGUAAAAUCAUACGAACGUGAGUCAAUGCCUGUGACAGAUGAAAGGAGGAUCAUCACCAACGUGCUGAUGUUCAUCAUCCCUGGAUGUGGGGCUGCAGGUGGGAUGCCUGCCAGAGGAUGGCUUGACAAGUGAUGCGUAAGUCCGCACCCAGGAUCCGACCUGGUGAACUCCAGGUCGCCAAAGAGGAACGUGCGAACUUAACCGCUGCACCACCGGGCCAGCCCCAUGUGUGACGCCAUUUUUCAAUCAGCAAGGUCAUGAGAGAAAGAGAGCAGAGCAGGACAAAGAUAUAUGUGGACAGAAGACUA
rnacentral:lncRNA from 1 species